CAGCUGGUGAUGGUGAAACGCCCCGGAAGAAUUUCUUCAGGGAAGUUAUUCACCAACGAAACAGUCUCUCAUUCCAUGAAUGUGGCGAGGCAGGACAAAUGGAGUGAAGAAGACAGUCCUUGCACUGGUCCUCAAACAGGGCGACAGCGCCAUGGCCUGGGAGAGCCUUCCUUAGGUGGAGGAGGUCAGCAUGGCAGGUGACAUCUUGUCAGCUUCGGUAGAUUGUCAUGGUGUUCUGGAACAUUACCUGUUUCUGAUUUGUGAUCUUUCCUGAUCUUCACAUCUGCCCUGGAAG